GACGAACGCUGGCGGCGUGCUUAACACAUGCAAGUCGAACGGAAAGGCCCUGCUUUUGUGGGGUGCUCGAGUGGCGAACGGGUGAGUAACACGUGAGUAACCUGCCCUUGACUUUGGGAUAACUUCAGGAAACUGGGGCUAAUACCGGAUAGGAGCUCCUGCUGCAUGGUGGGGGUUGGAAAGUUUCGGCGGUUGGGGAUGGACUCGCGGCUUAUCAGCUUGCUGGUGGGGUAGUGGCUUACCAAGGCUUUGACGGGUAGCCGGCCUGAGAGGGUGACCGGCCACAUUGGGACUGAGAUACGGCCCAGACUCCUACGGGAGGCAGCAGUGGGGAAUAUUGCACAAUGGGCGGAAGCCUGAUGCAGCAACGCCGCGUGCGGGAUGACGGCCUUCGGGUUGUAAGCCGCUUUCGCCUGUGACGAAGCGUGAGUGACGGUAAUGGGUAAAGAAGCACCGGCUAACUACGUG
rnacentral:rRNA from 1 species